ACGUAGGGUGCGAGCGUUAAUCGGAAUUACUGGGCGUAAAGCGUGCGCAGGCGGCGCUGUAAGACAGAUGUGAAAUCCCCGGGCUCAACCUGGGAACUGCAUUUGUGACUGCAGUGCUAGAGUGUGUCAGAGGGGGGUGGAAUUCCACGUGUAGCAGUGAAAUGCGUAGAGAUGUGGAGGAACACCGAUGGCGAAGGCAGCCCCCUGGGAUAACACUGACGCUCAGGCACGAAAGCGUGGGGAGCAAACAG
rnacentral:rRNA from 1 species